CAGCCGCCGCGGUAAAACGAAGGGGGCUAGCGUUGCUCGGAAUUACUGGGCGUAAAGGGAGCGUAGGCGGACAUUUAAGUCAGGGGUGAAAUCCCAGAGCUCAACUCUGGAACUGCCUUUGAUACUGGGUGUCUUGAGUGUGAUAGAGGUAUGUGGAACUCCGAGUGUAGAGGUGAAAUUCGUAGAUAUUCGGAAGAACACCAGUGGCGAAGGCGGCCAUCUGGGACAACACUGACGCUGAGGCACGAAAGCGUGGGGAGCAAACAGGAUUAGAUACCCCGGUAGUCCCUGUCUCUUAUAC
rnacentral:rRNA from 1 species